ensembl:lncRNA novel transcript
AGUCUGCGAGGCCGUCCCAGCUCUUUCCACCCGAGCGCGAGGUAGACGCCGGGGCCACCCGCAGCACGCAGAGCUUCUGGGAGCCGGUGGCAAGGCCGAAUUGGGAUGCAAACCAAAUGGACGUGGGUGACUGGCAGAAAACGCCUCCCACAAAUGGGAGGGAUUUCGGAGGGAACCGAAAGAAAGUUGGAAACCAAGUUACAGCUGAAGCCAGGGCCUUCUCCUACCCGACUCCCGCGGCCCAUUAAAACCUACGUGAGCUUAUCUGAUACCUUCAAGCCCUGUUUUGUGGCCCCAUCUCCUCUUCAGAUGGCAAUGUGCCUAGCUACACUACAUUUCCUGCCUCCCUUGCAGCUAGAGGUGGCCAAUGAGAUAUAAACAGAUGCUGUAAGACAUGAUGUCUAGAUCCCUAGCAGUCAUCCCAGACCAUGAGAUAACUUUGAGAAGGAACACCAUGUACAAAGGACUGUGCAGAAGAGGGUUGGCAGGAGCCUGGAUCUCUGAUGACUUCACCCUUGACUGCCCACCUCACCAGGCUGUACAAGCCACUGUUACUGGCAGAUGAAUGCAAGUUCUAAAACAUACAACUACUGACCUACUGAAUUUUCCAAGGAGCACAUUUCCACUGGAGACAUUUGGUGCCUGCAGAAAAUACUUACUGAGGAAUUUCUAUGGGACCAGCCUGAAGUAGAAGCCACUGAAGAGAGGCCCUGAAGCAGCUUUUCUUCCUUAUCCCAGAGACCAACAUGGUUACCCCAGCCCAGAGUCACCCUCCUUCCUCUAAGCUGUCAAAACCCUGGCUGCCUUUACAAUGAUUCUGACAAUGAAUCCCACCCUGCUGGUGAUGUCUAUUGCUUUACUGUUAAACUUUUUAAGGGUUAAAAUUCCUUUUUAUUUUUCUUUUUAAAUUGAUUAAUAAUAGUUGUACCAAUUUGGAUGGUACCUGUAAUAUUUUGAUACCUACAUACAAUGUGUGAUGAACAAAUCAGAGUAAUUGGGCUAGCCAUCACCUCACACAUUUAUCUAGGGCUGAAAUCCCUGAAGGACAGGAUUGUGUCUUACAAAUUGUGUAUUCUAAUCUGCAUUUACAUUUCAGAAAUUCUGGACUAAGUAGGCAAACCAACAGAAACUCUUGCUAUGAAGAUCUGGAGGUUUCCUGGAGGAAGUGGUGAAUAGGGCCUUGGGACUGAUGUUAAAAGCCCUGGAACACAAUAGGGAGACUCCUGAACUAGGAAGAAGUCAAAAGCUCUGGUAGCAGCCCCCACAAAUUAAGAAACCUACUCAGAGUAAAAGAAACAGGCCAUGGUGGGUGGCCGGGGAGCAAGGAAUAUUUGUGAGUAACCCCAGAUGGUGGCAAUCAUUUAAUGCCCUCCAUCCCUCUCAGUGUAUAUUAGGUUAUGUUUUUUUUUUAGAAAAUGGAGGAAGGGUUUUACUAUGUUGCCUAGGCCAGUCUCAAACUCCUAGGCUCAAGCGAUUCACCUGCAUUGGCCUCCUAAAUUGCUGGGAUUACAGGCAUGAGCCACUGUGCCUGGCCCAAGAAGUCUGAGCCAGACGUUGCUGCAUAGGUCAGAACUCUGUGGGCUAUGAAUGUAAGAUAUUCACGAGUCACAUCUAUUCCAUUCAUUGGCAAACACUUACCUGAAACCAUACAGCAAAAGAGAUUCUGGAAAAUGUACCUUCCAGCCUUAGAAGAAAGUGAUGGUGGUGCCCAGUUGACCCCAGGCAAGCCGGCCCAGGAAUGCAGACAUUUUGGACUGCUCAUCUUUUACUACUUUGUGUAGCCUUUCACAGAAGAAUUACACAAGAACUUGACUCUUGAUUCCAAGGAUUCUGGAAGAAUGCCAACCAAACUGAAGUCUACAAGCCUAACCAUGUUAUGAAAAGGCUGGAUGUGACAUGGUGAAUCCUCCUUAGAUGUGUUAACUAGGGUUAGGGUACCAGUGACAUGCAAGGGGUUGGCCAUUUGAUUAAGUAGAGGAGGCAUGAGUGAAAGCAGCACACCUCCACCCUGCUCAAUGGCCAUCAUCACCUAGCCAGGCUGUGAGCCUCCAUGGAGUGGGUAGCUGAGAACCCACAACCCACAAUAUAUCUUCUUUCUGGCCCUGUUAACAUGGACCUGUCUCUAUGAGGUGAUGGUUGAUAUCCAGCUAAGUAUGGCCCUCUUAAUAGUAAUGUGGGUGGCUUUAUUCAUAUUGGCUUCAUGAUAAAUGGUAUCACUGAGCUGACUUCUCUAUGUUUUAGAUA